UUCAAGGGAAGUCAUUCUGUCAGCAUGUUACAGAUUUAUCAUGAGACAGUGUGUCCUCCCUUGCUU
rfam:Biomphalaria glabrata isolate BB02 unplaced genomic scaffold LGTN_random_Scaffold2100, whole genome shotgun sequence.